GUGAAUCAUCAAAUUUUUGAACGCAAAUUGCACUCUCCUCGGAGAGUAUGCCUGUUUGAGGGUCAGCCUAUAAAAAAUCGACAUCGUUGCUGUUUCGCGGUGACGUUCGUCGGAAAUUGGGUCAUCUUAAAUCCUUUUGGUUUUAAGCGACUUAAAAUUCUCUUUUUGGUCCAUGAAACUUUUUUAGGUUUUUUUCCCUUACCCGUUA
rnacentral:misc_RNA from 1 species